rnacentral:rRNA from 1 species
AGGAAUAUUGGUCAAUGGGCGCGAGCCUGAACCAGCCAAGUAGCGUGAAGGAUGAAGGUCCUACGGAUUGUAAACUUCUUUUAUAAGGGAAUAAAGUCACCCACGUGUGGGUGUUUGUAUGUACCUUAUGAAUAAGCAUCGGCUAACUCCGUGCCAGCAGCCGCGGUAAUACGGAGGAUGCGAGCGUUAUCCGGAUUUAUUGGGUUUAAAGGGAGCGUAGACGGGUCGUUAAGUCAGCUGUGAAAGUUUGGGGCUCAACCUUAAAAUUGCAGUUGAUACUGGCGUCCUUGAGUACGGUUGAGGCAGGCGGAAUUCGUGGUGUAGCGGUGAAAUGCUUAGAUAUCACGAAGAACCCCGAUUGCGAAGGCAGCCUGCUAAACCGCCACUGACGUUGAGGCUCGAAAGUGUGGGUAUCAAACAGGAUUAGAUACCCUGGUAGUCCACACGGUAAACGAUGGAUACUCGCUGUUGGCGAUAGACUGUCAGCGGCUUAGCGAAAGCGUUAAGUAUCCCACCUGGGGAGUACGCCGGCAACGGUGAAACUCAAAGGAAUUGACGGGGGCCCGCACAAGCGGAGGAACAUGUGGUUUAAUUCGAUGAUACGCGAGGAACCUUACCCGGGCUUAAAUUGCAGAUGAAUUACGGUGAAAGCCGUAAGCCGCAAGGCAUCUGUGAAGGUGCUGCAUGGUUGUCGUCAGCUCGUGCCGUGAGGUGUCGGCUUAAGUGCCAUAACGAGCGCAACCCUUGUUGUCAGUUACUAACAGGUUCCGCUGAGGACUCUGACAAGACUGCCAUCGUAAGAUGUGAGGAAGGUGGGGAUGACGUCAAAUCAGCACGGCCCUUACGUCCGGGGCUACACACGUGUUACAAUGGGGGGUACAGAGGGCCGCUACCACGCGAGUGGAUGCCAAUCCCCAAAACCUCUCUCAGUUCGGACUGGAGUCUGCAACCCGACUCCACGAAGCUGGAUUCGCUAGUAAUCGCGCAUCAGCCACGGCGCGGUGAAUACGUUCCCG